rnacentral:rRNA from 1 species
AUUAGUUUGAUCAUGGCUCAGGACGAACGCUGGCGGCGUGCUUCACACAUGCAAGUCGAACGGGGAUGCAGCAAAAGCUUGCUUUUAUUGCAUCCUAGUGGCGGACGGGUGAGUAACGCGUGGGAAUCUACCCGGUUCUUCGGAAUAACCCAGGGAAACUUGGGCUAAUACCGGAUACGCCCUUAGGGGGAAAGAUUUAUCGGAAUUGGAUGAGCCCGCGUCGGAUUAGCUAGUUGGUGGGGUAAUGGCCUACCAAGGCGACGAUCCGUAGCUGGUCUGAGAGGAUGAUCAGCCACACUGGGACUGAGACACGGCCCAGACUCCUACGGGAGGCAGCAGUGGGGAAUAUUGGACAAUGGGCGCAAGCCUGAUCCAGCCAUGCCGCGUGAGUGAUGAAGGCCUUAGGGUUGUAAAGCUCUUUCAGCGGGGAAGAUAAUGACGGUACCCGCAGAAGAAGCCCCGGCUAACUUCGUGCCAGCAGCCGCGGUAAU